UACGAAGGACCCAAGCGUUAUCCGGAUUUAUUGGGUUUAAAGGGUGCGUAGGCGGGUUGUUAAGUCAGUGGUGAAAGCUCCGAGCCUAACUCGGAAACUGCCAUUGAUACUGAUGAUCUUGAGUACAUUUGAGGUGGGCGGAAUGUGUCAUGUAGCGGUGAAAUGCUUAGAGAUGACAAAGAACACCGAUUGCGAAGGCAGCUCACUAAACUGUAACUGACGCUGAGGCACGAAAGCGUGGGGAGCAAACAGG
rnacentral:rRNA from 1 species